CUGAGUGCCUACACAUGCUCCCCAUUAGCUGUACUCCUUAAAUAAUCCUUUUGUUUGUUGUCCUUUGCCAGUGCGUUUUCAGUGUUUUGGAAAUCAGUAGGACAUCACGUCACCACCAUCCUUCAAGCGACGCAGGUGGACAAAAGCGGUAGUGUUCUGCCUUAGGGAAGACUGCGUUACCCAUGAGGACCUGUGCACGGGAUCGUAAAAUCCUGAUGUCUUGGUCGCCUGCAGAUGGAUUCAACGACAUUUUUGUUUCCAGCAGGCGGUGUGAAGGAUGAAUAGUACUGAGUGUCACUUCACCCUUUCCCUUCCCUCACAAUAAACAAAUGAGCACGCUGGUGGGGUCACAGUUCAAGCCUGACACGGGAAGACGCGACGUGACAGGCUUAGGCCACUCGGGCUCCGCAGCAGAUGUUGCCACAGCGAGCGAGGAACAGAAGAUGCUGGUAAUUACCCAGGCUCCCCCGGGAAGGUGGUGACAUGCGGCCGCCACUCCUGGAGAUCACAUGGGCGUCAUUAAAGCUGCGGUUGCAGUUGUUAAUAGGGCGGCUAAUAAAA